rnacentral:hammerhead_ribozyme from 1 species
GUACUGCUGAAGAGUCCCAAAUUACGAUGAAACAGCUGUCCAGUAC